rnacentral:rRNA from 1 species
GAGACCCCAGAUCAGGUGGGACUACCCGCUGAGUUU